AGAAACCAAAGACCAAAACUCUUUCCAGGGGCAUUCCCACUGGGACUUCACCUCAGCAGUCGGGAGGGAAACUGGAAAAGAACCUGAACCCCGCCUAUCCACAAAGAGAACCAAUCACUGGGCCCGAUUCCAUCUAUUUAUUGGAUUUAAGCGAAAUUCCUCCCACUGCUUCGGUGUGAACUUCAGAUGAGGUAGCUGCUCAUUCUCAUAUGCAUUGAGUAAAAACUAAAAUGUGGAAAAUAUCAAAGCUGCAUCCACAGCCAACAACAGCACUCAAAAACCUAAAGGAGCUCCAGGGUCAAGAUUGAAUACAGUUAAGUCUCACCACUCUCUGGUGCACAUCUUACAUCUUAGAAUGUGCAGGGAGUCUUAUAGUCAGAGAAUCCUUACCAAUGGGCUUCUGUGACCUCAAAGAAAAUAAACACCCAACAUCAUCUUCCUGGGGAUUCUAGCUCAAUCAACUGAUGCUUUCCUGCCUUGUGAAAUUAACUCAGAUUGAGUGGAUGUGAACCUAGGGUCUGCCUCCGAGCCUCUGUAAGUCUGAGCAAGCAAAUUCAUACAUUUGAGUCUUAACUUUC